rnacentral:rRNA from 1 species
UACGGAGGGUGCAAGCAUUGAUCGGAAUUACUGGGCGUAAAGGGCGCGUAGGCGGCCCGAUAAGUCAGAUGUGAAAUUCCACGGCUCAACCGUGGAGCUGCAUUUGAAACUGUCGAGCUAGAGCGUAGUUAGGGAAAACGGAAUUCCACAUGUAGCGGUGAAAUGCGUAGAUAUGUGGAGGAACACCGGUGGUGAAGACGGUUUUCUGGGCUAUAGCUGACGCUGAGGCGCGAAAGCUAGGGGAGCAAACAGG